GUAGGUGGCAAGCGUUGUCCGGAAUUAUUGGGCGUAAAGCGCGCGCAGGCGGGUCCUUUAAGUCUGAUGUGAAAGCCCACGGGCUCAACCGUGGAGGGUCAUUGGAAACUGGGGGACUUGAGUACAGAAGAGGAAAGCGGAAUUCCAAGUGUAGCGGUGAAAUGCGUAGAGAUUUGGAGGAACACCAGUGGCGAAGGCGGCUUUCUGGUCUGUAACUGACGCUGAGGCGCGAAAGCGUGGGGAGCAAACAGGAUUAGAUACCCUGGUAGUCCACGCCGUAAACGAUGAGUGCUAAGUGCUAGGGGGGUUUCCGCCCCUUAGUGCUGCAGCUAACGCAUUAAGCACUCCGCCUGGGGAGUACGGCCGCAAGGCUG
rnacentral:rRNA from 1 species